rnacentral:rRNA from 1 species
UACCAGACUCCUACGGGAGGCAGCAGUGGGGAAUAUUGCACAAUGGGGGAAACCCUGAUGCAGCGACGCCGCGUGAGCGAUGAAGUCUUUCGGUAUGUAAAGCUCUAUCAGCAGGGAAGAAAAUGACGGUACCUGACUAAGAAGCCCCGGCUAACUACGUGCCAGCAGCCGCGGUAAUACGUAGGGGGCAAGCGUUAUCCGGAUUUACUGGGUGUAAAGGGAGCGUAGACGGCUGUGCAAGCCAGAUGUGAAAGCCCGGGGCUCAACCCCGGGACUGCAUUUGGAACUGCAUGGCUGGAGUGCGGGAGGGGCAGGCGGAAUUCCCGGUGUAGCGGUGAAAUGCGUAGAUAUCAGGAGGAACACCGGCGGCGAAGGCGGCCUGCUGGACUGCGACUGACGUUGAGGCUCGAAAGCGUGGGGAGCGAACAGGAUUAGAUACCCGGGUAGA